AGUUUAAUAGCUCAGUUGGUUGGGCGCCAGACUGCAGAACUGGAAGUCGUGGGUUCGAAUCCCGGCCGGACCA